GCGCUGGUGUUCCUGCCGGGCUUCAACUCCAUGACCGCC
rnacentral:tRNA from 10 species